UGAGUAACCUGCCCUUCACUCUGGGAUAACUCCGGGAAACCGGGGCUAAUACUGGAUAUGACUCGAACAGGCAUCUGUUUCGGGUGGAAAGAUUUUAUUGGUGGAGGAUGGACUCGCGGCCUAUCAGCUUGUUGGUGGGGUAAUGGCUCACCAAGGCGACGACGGGUAGCCGGCCUGAGAGGGCGAUCGGCCACACUGGGACUGAGACACGGCCCAGACCUCCGUACGGGAGGCA
rnacentral:rRNA from 1 species